GCACAAGCGGUGGAUGAUGUGGUUUAAUUCGAUGCAACGCGAAAACCUUACCUACCUUUGACAUGUACGGAAUUCGCCAGAGAUGGCUUAGUGCUCGAAAGAGAACCGUAACACAGGUGCUGCAUGGCUGUCGUCAGCUCGUGUCGUGAGAUGUUGGGUUAAGUCCCGCAACGAGCGCAACCCUUGUCAUUAGUUGCUACAUUUAGUUGGGCACUCUAAUGAGACUGCCGGUGACAAACCGGAGGAAGGUGGGGAUGACGUCAAGUCCUCAUGGCCCUUAUAGGUAGGGCUACACACGUCAUGCAAUGGUCGGUACAGAGGGUUGCCAAGCCGCGAGGUGGAGCCAAUCCCACAAAGCCGAUCGUAGUCCGGAUUGUUCUCUGCAACUCGAGAGCAUGAAGUCGGAAUCGCUAGUAAUCGCAGGUCAGCAUACUGCGGUGAAUACGUUCCCGGGUCUU
rnacentral:rRNA from 1 species